rnacentral:rRNA from 1 species
GUCGAGAAUCUUUCACAAUGGGGGCAACCCUGAUGGAGCGACGCCACGUGGAGGAUAAGGUCUUCGGAUUGUAAACUCCUGUCAUGCGUGAACAAGGUUGCUUGGUUAAUACCUGGGCAAAUUGAUGGUAACGCAAGAGGAAGAGACGGCUAACUCUGUGCCAGCAGCCGCGGUAAUACAGAGGUCUCAAGCGUUGUUCGGAAUCACUGGGCGUAAAGGGUGCGUAGGUGGCGUGGUAAGUCAGAUGUGAAAGCCCGGGGCUCAACCUCGGAACGGCAUCCGAUACUGCCAUGCUAGAGUACUGGAGAGGUGACUAGAAUUCUCGGUGUAGCAGUGAAAUGCGUAGAUAUCGAGAGGAAUACCAAAGGCGUAGGCAGGUCACUGGACAGUUACUGACACUGAGGCACGAAGGCCAGGGGAGCGAACGGGAUUAGAUACCCGAGUAGUCC